rnacentral:rRNA from 1 species
AAGCUGUAGUUGAAUUUCGGGAUUAGUACGUCGGUCGUGCCUUAGGUACGUACUGGUGUUACUGGUUCCUACCUUCUGACGAACCAUCAUGUCAUUAAUUUGGUGUGGUGGGGAAUCAGGACUGUUACUUUGAAAAAAUUAGAGUGUUUAAAGCAGGCUCGCGCUUGAAUACAUUAGCAUGGAAUAAUGAAAUAGGACGUUGAUCCUAUUUUGUUGGUUUCUAGGAUUGACGUAAUGAUUAAUAGGGAUAGUUGGG